rnacentral:rRNA from 1 species
UACGUAGGGUGCGAGCGUUGUCCGGAAUUAUUGGGCGUAAAGAGCUCGUAGGCGGUCUGUCGCGUCUGCUGUGAAAACUCAGGGCUUAACCCUGAGCUUGCAGUGGGUACGGGCAGACUAGAGUGCGGUAGGGAGACUGGAAUUCCGUGGUGUAGCGGUGAAAUGCGCAGAUAUCAGGAGGAACACCGGUGGCGAAGGCGGGUCUCUGGGCCGUAACUGACGCUGAGGAGCGAAAGCAUGGGGAGCGAACAGG